GUCACCAGGAAGUGAGAACGCGAGUAGCAGGCAGUUUCCUGGACACGGAUAGUCGGCCAAUCAUUCGGCGUAUCUGCAAUGUGCUCCAGUAGCCGUACGAAUAUUGCGUAGACUCGCUCCUUCUCAGCGACAGAAAGUGUUCUGCUGCACGAUUCCUUCCCUCCCCGCAAACAGGGGAGUAAAGCUGCUGCUUUGCCUUAUGUGUUUUUGUGCCUGAGCUCGAGCGCGCCCGCCCCCUUCCUCGCCGCGGUAGAAGAAAGACACACGCCCGCUGCACGGAGGCUACCUCAACGUGGAAGCCGUCUCGUGGGACUGGACAGUUUCUUCUCUCCCCACCAUCACUUUGCGUCUGACUGGCGGUCGGGUGGUUGGCCCUGCACGCCCGGUGUUCCUUUUUAUUUUAUUUUAACUGAUUUUAUUGUGAUUUUUAUUCUUUUUGUUUCUGUUUCAGGAGGUGGGACCCCGAGGUGGUGGACUGCUGUCUGGUGGUGGGUCCCGCGUGUUGUGUCCUGUCACGUUUGCAGUGAAUCUCCACUUCCGGUGUUUUAGUUUUGUGGUGUUUUUAUUGCAGCUCCAGCCACCUCGGUGAGCUCCCCCUCUGUGUUCUUUUUUUAUGUGGAAGUUGUUUUAACAUUUUAUAUAGCUCUUAAUAAAUUAUAUUUUUAAUAUUUUACCCAGCCUCUGCCUUGGUUUAAAGUAAGAAUUUUACGUGUCCUUUAAUUUAAUUUCCUGGGGCCAAACAGCCCCAGGUGGCAUUGUUGCAACACACCACACCCGUGUCGCCACACUUCUGCUUUUCUAGAUUAAGGAAAAAAAAAA